GGGCUCACACAAGCGGUGGAGGAUGUGGCUUAAUUCGAGGCUACGCGAAGAACCUUAUCCUAGUCUUGACAUGUAUGGAUUAACCCUGUGAAAGCAGGGCCACGCCUUCGGGUGGAACAUACACAGGUGCUGCAUGGCUGUCGUCAGCUCGUGUCGUGAGAUGUCGCGUUAAGUCGCUUAACGAGCGAAACCCUUGUCUCUAGUUGCCAGCGCGUAAUGGCGGGGACUCUAGAGAGACCGCCGGCGUUAAGCCGGAGGAAGGUGGGGAUGACGUCAAGUCCUCAUGGCCCUUAUGACUAGGGCUGCACACGUGCUACAAUGGGACGUACAAAGGGAAGCGAACCCGCGAGGGCAAGCAAAUCUCAAAAAGCGUCUCUCAGUUCGGAUUGCAGGCUGCAACUCGCCUGCAUGAAGCUGGAAUCGCUAGUAA
rnacentral:rRNA from 1 species